ACUGGGCAUAGUGUUGCAUGCUUGCAGUCCCAGCUACUCAGGAGGCUCGGGCAGGAGGAUCACUUGAAUCCAGGAGCUCUGGGCUAUAGUAAUCUAUGCUGAUCAAGUGUCGGUGACCUCCCAGGAGUUGGGGACCACCAAGUUGCCUAAGGAGUGAACCAACCCAGGUCUGAAACAGAGCAGGUCAAAACUCCUGUGCUGAUUAGUAGUAGGAUCACUCCUGUGAAUAACCACUACACCCUGGCCUGAGCAACAUAGUGAGACCCUGUCUGUU
rnacentral:SRP_RNA from 1 species